CUCAUUAAAUCAGUUAUAGUUUAUUUGAUGGUCUCUUUUGUCUUUUUUUACCUACUUGGAUAACCGUGGUAAUUCUAGAGCUAAUACAUGCGCAAGGUCCCGAGCGCGGGGGAUGGGGCUUCACGGCUCUGUCCUCGCAUGCGCAGAGGGAUGUAUUUAUUAGGUUAAAAACCAGCGUAGCCAGCAAUGGCUACAAUCUCCUGGUGAUUCAUAGUAACUCUUUCGGAUCACAUUCAUG
rnacentral:rRNA from 1 species